rnacentral:rRNA from 1 species
GUAGGGUGCGAGCGUUGUCCGGAAUUAUUGGGCGUAAAGGGCUCGUAGGCGGUUUGUCGCGUCGGGAGUGAAAACGCCGUGCUUAACACGGCGCUUGCUUUCGAUACGGGCAGACUAGAGGUAUUCAGGGGAGAACGGAAUUCCUGGUGUAGCGGUGAAAUGCGCAGAUAUCAGGAGGAACACCGGUGGCGAAGGCGGUUCUCUGGGAAUGACCUGACGCUGAGGAGCGAAAGUGUGGGGAGCGAACAGGAUUAGAUACCCUGGUAGUCCACACCGUAAACGUUGGGCGCUAGGUGUGGGGUCCAUUCCACGGAUUCCGUGCCGCAGCUAACGCAUUAAGCGCCCCGCCUGGGGAGUACGGCCGCAAGGCUAAA